CCUACGGGUGGCAGCAGUGGGGAAUAUUGGACAAUGGGGGGAACCCUGAUCCAGCCAUGCCGCGUGUGUGAAGAAGGCCCUCGGGUUGUAAAGCACUUUCAGUGAGGAAGAACGCCUGGUGGUUAAUACCCAUCAGGAAAGACAUCACUCACAGAAGAAGCACCGGCUAACUCCGUGCCAGCAGCCGCGGUAAUACGGAGGUUGCGAGCGUUAAUCGGAAUUACUGGGCGUAAAGCGCGCGUAGGUGGCUUGAUAAGCCGGUUGUGAAAGCCCCGGGCUCAACCUGGGAACGGCAUCCGGAACUGUCAAGCUAGAGUGCAGGAGAGGAAGGUAGAAUUCCCGGUGUAGCGGUGAAAUGCGUAGAGAUCGGGAGGAAUACCAGUGGCGAAGGCGGCCUUCUGGACUGACACUGACACUGAGGUGCGAAAGCGUGGGUAGCAAACAGGAUUAGAUACCCGGGUAGUC
rnacentral:rRNA from 1 species